ACCUUUCGGCUUUACAGGAAGUGGACUUUUCCUUUACAUCACUCAGCAUGAACGUCUAUGUCUGAAAAGUUCGCAGUAAAUUAAAAAAAGAGGAACAGCAACAUGCUGGAAAAAUAGGAACCUCAAGAAAAUGAAGAGGGGUUGUUUGUGAGCCUUGAAUCUUCACCAAAUUCUAUGGAUAUAUCUAAGAAACAGACAGCCAAUGGCUUCUGUCCCAUUCUAUACCCAGUUUGGGUGGAGAAACCCAAGGGUCAGUGCAGAUGAUGUAAGCAUUACAAAGGGGAAAAAGAGGUGUGGGUCUGGGCUCCUGUGAUUGGAGAGGACAGUUGGAGGUUGUGUGGGGAAGGUGACUGUGGCCCUGAGGCCUACACAGGGACAGGAGACUGAAAAGAGCCCUGCAGGUCUGGACAACAUCACUUGCAAACACAGUUCCCUCAUGAGCCCUGAUGAGGACCAGCUUAAAAAGGGUCUGGACACAGUGACUUGCUUUUAACCAAUAAGGCAAAAGUGAUGGGAUGUCACUUCUGAGGGUAAGUUAUAGAAGACUGUAACCUCCAUCUUGCUCAGUCUCUGUGUGGCUUUUUCACUUUCUCACACUGAUGAACUCAGGCUUACUGUCCUAAGGAGAGACACACAUGACAAGUAACUGAGAGAUGCUUCUAGCCAACCAGUUGCCUGUGAGAAACUGAAUCCUGCCAACAACCACAUAAGUCAGUUCAAGAGCAGAACUUUCCCAGUUGAGACUUAAGAUGAUGGUAGCCCCAACAAACAUCUUGAUUGCAGCUUUAUGAGGAACCCUGAGCCAGAGCUGGAUCAUGGUUGGGUUUCUGACCCACAAAGAUGGAGAAAUAAUAAAUGUUGUAGUUUCUCUCCAUUAAGUUUUAGAGUAAUUUUUUAUGCAGCUACAGAUAGCUAAUACCAGCUAAUUGUUAACUGAUCACAUAUUCUACAGCACAUAGAUAUAUCUUAAGUUCAUGUGUGUUUUCUCCGAAUAAUAGACUUUUUUUAAUUUAAAAAGGAAAAUAUUAUUUAGGAAUGACAAUAUUUUUUAAAGAAAAAUAUAUUGUAAAUCCAAAAAUAUGUUUGUGCUUCACUGUCAUAGCUGUGGAGUAUACAGUUAGCCUUGAAAAGAUGGGUCUGUAAUUUACUUCUAUAAUUCUAAGAAGUUGUAGUCUUGGUUGACCCAGUCCAGGCUGUCAAAGUUAGAUUCUAUGAUAUACUUACAAGGGUGGCUGAAAAGGCCCUGUGCCCACUGGAUUUAAAAAUGGGGUGACUUUUUAUUUUGUCCUGGGAUCUUGAACCUAAGCAUCUAUGAUUAACUUCUAUAAUAAUGUUAGAACUGCCAGAUGAGCCUUUCCCUUGGAAACCUCUAAUUGCUACCUACAACAAAAAUCCAAUUAAAAACAAAAGGCUGCAUAAUUUGAGAAUGUUCUAAAAAGCUUAAAUGAGUUGCUCUUUAUGAUAAUAUCUGCUCUGUAUACUGAAUAAUAUUAUCUGGACCUCAUGAGGGCUAUAGAGCAAAUAUUGUAAGAAACCUAAGCAUUGCGUCCAAUGCUCACAGUGGGAAAAUACCAACUAUAAAUCUGUUUACAACUUUAUUACUUACCAAUCAAUUUGGUUCCUGCAGAAUGUUCCUUCAGGGAAUACAAAAAGUUAUGUUCUAAUUAAAGUAUAAUUAUAUAUCAAGGACAGAAGGGCAGGAAUCAUUUUACUUCUGAACUUCCUCACAUCAGAAUGGACGUGAAGAUGCUCCACUCUGAAAAUCUGAUACACACUUGAUAAUCUAACAGUACAUGUAGUACUUCUAUUGAAAUAUAGGUUUUUAUGAAAUGCUUUUAUUUCAAGUUAAUAACAAUUAAAUCUGAAGAGAUGCAAAGUGAAAUAGGGUAAGGUUUAUACUGAUUUCAAGACAUUUACAUUUUUCGUUGGAAUGCAUACUUUUUAGGUUUAUCACAUUUUGUUUUGUUAAAUACAAUCCCACAGUCAGUGUAAUUCAGUCAGUAACAUCCAGAGUUUACUAUCAAGACACAGAGGUUUUGUUUCUACCUUUCUGUCUCCUUGUGUCCAUACUAUCUUUAGUUACUCUGAGCAUCUCUCAGAGUUUUUGCAUUCUCUUAUGCCUGCCUAUUAUGUCCGCUUUCCUAACCAGUCCUAAUAUUUAUUGAUUUAUUCUUAUUUUUAUCUUAUGCAGUAUGGUGUCUCUCUGAUUUACUCCAUUUUUUGCUUCUAUGUGUUCAGUUGGUGCUUGGUAUCUAAUGAAUAAGUAUAUUGAGAACCACACACAGAGAAUUUUUGGAAUCAAGAAUGUAAUAAGAUGUCAAUAUUUACUCAUGCAGCCAGUGCCCGAGGAAGCCCUAACUUCUGUGCAUGUUUGCAUUUUCAUUGUUUAGAUGUAUGUAAUGGAUUUAAGCUUAUUUUAUUUUUUAAAUGAAGUGAAAAUUGUCACCAACUGCGUGUUUAUUAAAGUGUCAGAAGACAGGACAAAAUUAUGUGAAAGAAAAUGACUGUAAAAUGGGCAUGUUUUCCAUAGGACCUAUGUCUGCCUAGGGAAGCAUGAAAAUACAAAUGACCUCUGUCAUACUCUCAAAUAUCUUAGUGAGAAUGAAGCAUAAACCAAGACUUCUGCUAUUUCACUAAUUUCUCACCUCGAUUGCCAUGCCCAGAAACAUUCUACAUUGCCAGAUACAAAGCCCAAAUUCUUUUAUUCCUGUUUCUCUCCUGUGUUCAGAAGCUUUAAGACAUAGAAUAUAGCCUCUUGGAAUAUUUUCCAGGGGCUGGAUUUUGGAAAAGAGCAGUUUUGCAUACUUUUAAAACUGUUGGUGAGGCACAGACUCAACUGUUCAGAGAUUGAUUGACUCCAAUGAGGACAUAAACAUGGGCGUAAAUAAGGAAGAGAAGUUGAAUCCAAACCAGAGAAAGAAAAGCCGUUAUGGUACAUUCCCUCCUCCCUCCUUCCUGUUUCUGGUCUGUUCCUCAGGGCAAGGCAGUGCAGAGACCAUGCAUACAACCAAGGCAGCAGGUGACCCUUUCUGACGAGGAACUUUCUGGUAGUAGAGGAUAAAACUUGCACAAUUUUGAUUACAAUUAAAGAGCAUAUUACCAGGUAAGAUUUGUGGAUUUCUUUCAAGAAUAGAGAAAAAAAUACUUAAGUCAAAGUUUUCUAUAAAGAAACAAAAAUCACGUUUCUUUCAGACUUUUAGACUAUAAAAUUAUGGUACAAAAAAAAUGGAAGAAUAUUCAGAAAUAAGACAAGAAAAAUAUGUAUAACACAACACCUAAAUUAUGUAAGUUCCAUUAAUUAUAUCACCCAAUAAUCUAAUCUACUUAGAACUCUGAUGGUCAACACAUAAUUAUGCUAAUAGAGAAAUCAAGAAUGGUGGACAUAUACUAUAGAAGACAAAUGAUAACAAAGAAUGACAUUCAAUAGAUAUUGUUUCAUUUUUUAAGUUUAUAAAAGGAAACUAUAAAAGUGGUCAUAUUAGACAAAACUACUAGAAUAAAAAGCUCAAAAAUGGAAAAAAAAGAUCCAUAACAAUCACAAUAGCUUCACAUUCAUAAACACAAACCAGGGUCACCAGGCAUUUAAGAAAAGAGAAGGACUAUAAUGAUUUUAAAAAACCCAAAAAACAAAAACAAAGCAAAGCAAAACAAAACAUUUGCUGGAGGAAAUAAAUCAUCCAAGAAAAAAAAAAGUUUAAUUUGAACAUCUUCAGAGAGAUUUGAGCUGUCUGGUAUUAUUACUAAAAUAAGAAAAGGAUGGUGUGAAAAGGGAGCAAUAGGAAAAUAGUAAAGUACUUUUGGAAAUUAAAAUAUUGCCAUACUGAAAAGUUUAGUAAAAGGACUGACUGAUUAAAAAAAAAAAACAAAAACAGCCAAAGAUAGAAUCAAUGAUCUAGAAGAUGCUGAGAAACUCUCCAAAGGUGUUGAAGAAAAAGGAACAAUGAGAAAAUAUGAGAAAAACUUAGCAUCAUGGAUACCCUCAUCCAGGAACCCCAGUGUUCAUCUAGUAAGAUUUCUAGAAGGAGAAAACAAAAACAAACAAAAAAAGAAUGAAAAAUAAAAAGUUAGAAAAACAUCAAAGAACAAAAACAAUGUAAAUACAAUAAUAUAAAAUAUUCACAUGUUCACAUUGAAGUGAUCAAUUGGUCAUUGAUAAAGAUAACUCAAUAAAAAUAGAAAAGAUGCUUACCUGGACAUUCCUAGUGCAAUUUUAUAACUCCAGUUGUAAAGAGAUAAUAUUCUAAAAGCUGCCACAGGCAGGGAAGAAAUUAGCAGACAAACAAAUGACCACUUGGAUUAUGUAAGAUUUCUAAUCAGUAAAAAUAGCUUUUAAAAAAUAACAUAA